GAUGAACGCUGGCGGCGUGCUUAACACAUGCAAGUCGAACGGGAUCCAAGGGGUGCUUGCACUUUUUGGUGAGAGUGGCGAACGGGUGAGUAACACGUGAGUAACCUGUCCUUUUCUUUGGGAUAAGCAUUCGAAAGGGUGUUUAAUACCUUAUGUUCUGUCUGCCUCGCAUGGGGUGGGUGGGAAAGGCUUUGGCCGGAUUUGGGUGGGCUCGCGGUCUAUCAGCUUGUUGGUGGGGUGAUGGCUUACCAAGGCUUUGACGGGUAGCCGGCCUGAGAGGGUGGUCGGUCACAUUGGGACUGAGAUACGGCCCAGACUCCUGCGGGAGGCAGCAGUGGGGGAUAUUGCACAAUGGGCGAAAGCCUGAUGCAGCGACGCCGCGUGGGGGAUGAAGGCCUGCGGGUUGUAAACUUCUGUUGCUCUGAACAAGGCAUGCCAGUGGGUGUGUUGAGUGUAGGGGUUGAUUAGCGCCGGCUAACUACGUG
rnacentral:rRNA from 1 species